GGACAAUCAGGCAUCAUAUCUUCUAAUUUACACGUAAAGUGGACCGAUUUCUUUCCAUGGUUACGAAGAGAGCUAAAUUCUGAGCAAGAUGGACAUGUUGCAUUAAAAGCAUGCAUUGGUUUUGGAACCCAUGCAAAUGAUUUUUCU